rnacentral:sRNA from 1 species
UAUUGAAUGAGGCUUCCCGCAAUAAU